ensembl:lncRNA
GUUUGUGGAGAACUACCUCUUCAGACAGUUUGCCUAUGUUCGUAAACGUUUGCUUGCUUAUGUUCGUUUAACGGAAAAUGUUUAAAAUCGUUUGCGAACGUUCGCCUAUGUUUGCGAUUCUGAACGCACCUCAGCUGCCUGGCUAAUGUACUCUGCCAUGUUACGUAUUUUAAGAACAUAAGCUGCCCCCACAUAGCCUCUAGGAAGCAGAUAUAAACACGCAAGCUGUAUUACCCUCACAUAGCCACUAGGAAGCAGGACCGAACAUAUAAGCCGUAAAUACUGUACAUAGCCACAAGGGGAGCAAGACCUUACUGAAGGCUGCUCAUUCCACAGAAGGCACCACCCAGAGUGGUAGAUAUAACAGAGUGGCAACACUUCCAUUGGACUCCGUUGUAGCGCCUACUUCCGGGGUAUGGAGCCUCGAAUAGUUCCAAACAACCAUUUUACUGUGUAGGAGACCAUUCAUUUCCAUUGCUGGCCGCCGAGUAACUUCUGAGGGUGAUGUCAAGAAGCCCUACAGAUGCCGCCGCUUCAACAAUGCUGAUUAUGAUGGGCGGUCAAUUUAACCUAAAUUAGUGUGACUGCUGAUGCUGUUGGUGGAUGCUGUUGGUGGCUGCUGGUGUUAGCGGCUGACGACGGCUGCUGAUGGUGGUGGCUGGUGCUGGCGUUGGCUGCUGGUGGUGGCUGCUGGUAGAUGCUGCUUGUUGUGACUGCUGGAAUAAGAGGAGGCUGGGGGCUGCGGAUGGUGGGCCAGGAAUGGAGAGGCCAAAUACAUCCAUGGCAAUCAGUAAGCCGUUCGGCAGUGGCCUAGAUGUUAUGACCUUAGCUCAUGGCAUGAGGGAAGGUUGCUGUCCAGACCCAUGGCCUCUCUUUCCUGCUGUGCCACUACAUUGGAACACUGCAUGAGGGAAUCACUCGUCUGAGAACGGAACAGCUGCUCCACGUUCUGCAGGAGAGUGAACACCUCAUCGGAUUGCCGGUUUAAUGCACCCCUUACAAAUUAUUUUAAUUCCAGGAAUACAGCUCUCUCACUUGCGGUAGUGGUGACUUUUUCCACCAGUGCACACUUGCAUUCAUCACAGAGUGAGAAGCCGAUAACCCUCUUCACUAUGUAUCCUGCUAGGUGGUAGAGGACACAGGACUCGGUCUUUGUCAUGUCAGGUGGUAAUGGGUCUACCAGCUGCUCCACUCUCACAACCUCAGAAGCACUGCAGCUGCUGUUCUGGGUUUCCAGGAAGUCCGCCAAGUGGUCUGAUGCAUCAUCCAGAUAACUGCCAGUAUGUGUUGUGGAGAGGAACUGCCCUACAGUGACAGCCCAUAGUGCAUAGUGGAACUCCACAGAUCUUGCUGGACCUCCUGAAUUGUUCUUGUGGCCAUCACCAGUCCAGUCUGGACUGGUUUCCAGCUGCCCUGGGGACCGAUCUUCAGGCCCGGAAAAAGAUGGAUCGAGUCGCGGAGGAAGCUGAUGGCCUUUUCAUACUCUCCCAUCUUGAAAUGACUGAGGGCACAAACAACAUUGCGGGACGACAUGAGGUCAAACCAGUGGUCCAUCUUCUCCAAAAACCAUGACGUUGUAAGGCUCAAGGGCACCUUGGGUGCCAGCUUAAGUGCCAUGCCCUCUUGGAAGGACACCAGAUCCUUUAAGGGGGCAACAGAGACUUCACUCGAUGCCAGCUGUCUCGAUGUCGUCUAUUUUGUUUCCUUCUUGCAGCUUGGCCACUGGUGGUAGCAACCACUUCCUCGUCACUGCUGCUCUCUUCAUUCCCCGGAACACCUUCACCGCCGUUGCCCACACUGCCUGCGUCUCCUUCAGCUUCCUCCUCCUCACUGUUGCUCCUCUCACCCUCAUCUGCAGGGAUCAGAAUAAGCCAAUAGAAAAUCUACCAGCCAACACCAAAAUUAAGAGUUUGGUUCCAAAAAGCUAUCUAUCCAUCUUUGAAAAUAUUCAAAAGUCAUGUAUUUGGAAUGUAUUAUUUUAGAAAUGUUUGACCAGAUUUUAAUUAUGUAUAAAUAAAUCAAGUACAACUGUAGGCCUAAUGCAUAUCCACUGAUAUAUCUAAAACACAAAAUGUAAAUAUAUAGACUAUGUAUUUCUGAAAAUGAAUGAAAAUGGCUUCUAUAGUGUUCUGGAAACAACCUCUUCUAAUUUACCAGCAUUGGCUGGUGCUAAUUUUGAAUCCUGUUUCACCUGGCUUGGCAACAUCCUCAUUACUGCUGCUCCUGUCCCUUUCACUGCUGCUCUCAUCACCUGGCCUUGGCACAUAUUCCUCAUCGCUGCCUGCACUGUCACUCAGACAACUAUCCUCACUGUCUUGUGGGAGUGCCCUUACGUGCGGUUGCGCGCUUGCGCUCUUGCCGUAAAAAACGGAGGGUUUCAUUCAGGUCUACAGAGAAAUAAAUGGCAGUUGUAUUCGCAUCCCAGCGUAGUGUCAGUAUAAUGAUUAUCUGAAAUAACUUAGCAAAAUACAGUGGAUUCCCUAGAUAAGCCGCCCAAAAAGAGUUUUACUAAUUAGCGCUGGUUAGUGGUUAGCAUUAGGCUAACGGCCUACUGUCGCUAAUAUGCUACAAAGCUAAAUAUGAUAAUAACUUCAAAAAUACGAAUCACACACAUUUCACCUCAUUACGUCAAGUGUAUAAGCACACAAUAAGCAUGUGAGUAUUUUUAUCUAACCACAACUUACCUUAAAAUUAACACAGGAUUGAACUUCCCCAACUCCUAUCGUGAGCAGCAUAACCGGAUUUAUCCUUGUACGUAAAGAGUUAACAGGUCCGUCACUUUGCGGUCCCACGGGAAACAACUGCUUGUCGAAGGUUCCUAGGUCCGUAGCGAAUAUGCACUAACCGGCAUUGGGGGAAUGCAGAUGCUAUCUUGGCUGGUUGACUGACUAAAACAGUUUGUUGCAUAUUUGUGACACCAGGCGUUAAGGGGUUAAGUGCCAUGCCCUCUUGGAAGGACACCAGAUCCUUUAAGGGGGCAACAGAGACUUCACUCGAUGCCAGCUGCCCCUUUUCCACCACAUCCUGUGGUAUGGUGAUGAUGUGACCACGGACAAUGGCACUCUUCAAGUUCUUGACGAGAUGAGGAACGUCAGGCAUGAAAUGGAGGCGCUGGCUUGGCUCAACAGGAUGCUGGAUCCAUGGCUUGUCAUAGGUCACCCCAACGGACUUCCACAUUGCUCUAUUGGGGCUCCCCAUGUCUGUGGUGAUGUUCAGCACAUGAAGCCCUACAGAUGCCACCGCUUCAACAAUGUUGAUUAUGAUGGGCCGGUAAACUGCGCCAUUGGUGGAAUUGCCACUAUAGUGGCAGUGUGACAUUGCCAAAUAGCCUCCCCGUUCCCAAAUGGAGCUCCACGCCUGGAGUAAUGGACAUCUCAUCUAAGUUGCCUUAUUAGGUCCUCCACAGUCGCCCCAUCAGUCCCUGGCAGUCUGCUCCCUGGAGCAGCUGGCCCUGGCAAAGUUAUUCCUUCACUGUUGACCCCUGACUGACUGGCCCUCGGCACACACAUCCCUGGAUCACCUGCCCCUGGAUCACCUGCCACUGGAUCACCUGCCCCUGGAUCACCUGCCCCUGGCAAUGUGGCCUCUUGAUUGCCCUCUCUGUCUCCUGUCAUGUCCUUUUCAACGCUCUUGAAAUCCACCUCAAUUUCUCCCUCAAUCUCUGUAACAAUUACAAGUUAAUGUUGCUGUUAUAUGUAUUUUGCCUUUGCAUUUGCAACUACUGUCAUCUCCAAUGUAAGAAAAUGAAUUAAAGCAAAACAUUUCUGUAAUGUGAAUUAAAUCAUCUGCCACAAUCAGAAACCAAUAAAAUGUAUAAAUGGAUCUACCGGCAAUUGUUAAUUGGGUAGAAAUGUGUCGAUUAUCUACAUUGUAUGCAAAUCCUCAG